GGUGGCGCGUGUCCCUGUCCAGCUGAGAACCCGCAGCCGGGCGCAGUUCCAGAAAAGUUUGUCGCGGCGGAGUUGCCGGUGUUGGCGGCUGGCCCUGUUGGGCUGGUCGGGGGCGCCUCAGCCCAGCGGGAAUACUCGCCCCGCAGCGGGAAGUUCUUACGGGGCGAGGGAAAAAACCCUUGGGAGCAACUGAAUGUCCCUUCCUUGGAGCAACAGGCGCCCGCCCCUCCAGCCCAAGUGGUGUCCACGUGUGUGCUGUGAGUGGAAUUCCCUCUCUGCUUCCUCCUCCUUGUCACGGUGGGCAGGAGCAGAGAGCCGGCCUCCUGGUUCUGCACUUCAGAUCGGGGACAUUUUUCAACCGAGGGUGUCAGAUUUUCCCCAAGGGAUAAUGUGGUUGGAAUGGAUUCAAGGCUUUUCUCCUCUGUGUGCCUCAGUUUCUUUAUUUAUGCAUUGGAACCGAUGAUCCCCAGAUCAUGGGUAUGAUGUGGAGAUAACACCUGUGUAAGGGUUUGUUAAUUGCUGGUGGCAGAACAGGAAGCGGUCGUCUGCCCAGCGUGUGAGCGGGAGAACUUUUGGCUUCAGGAAGGCUCAGCAUUGUCUUCCACGCCCACCUGAGUGUCUGUUGGCAUUUGUGCAAGGAGAGGAUGACACCAGAUGAGGUCUGUGGGAGCCCGGCAGCCUAUCCCCGAUCUCCGAUCUCCUGCCCUCUGACCAGUGGCUCCACUUCGUGCUUUCUUCCUCUCUACCUGUUGGAGGCUUGGUUCCCAGUGCUGGUUGCUACCUCCCCGACUCCCUGCCUCACCUUUCUGGUUCUGCUUAGAACAACUUCCGAUUCAGAGACAAUGUAUCUAGGUCUUAAAUGACUGCUCUUCCCCCAGUGACAGCCCCAGCCCUGGAGAGCUACCUUCUCUUUGGCUUGGUGGCAAGGGGCCUCUGUGGGCAUACUGGGGGGGGGGCGGCGGCAGUGCUUCAGUUUGUCCCUUAUUUAUCCUCCCCCAGCUGUGUGAGUUCAGGGCGGGACUAGGUUUGGAGGGAUAUUUUGUUACUGAUUAGCAAUCUAUGGCUACAACUCAGGUUUCUUUCUGCAACUCUGCCUGCACCCUGUCUCCCACCACAGACACCUUUUGGCAGGCCCCGGGAGCUCAAAGCCAGCUGCGUCAUCAACGAUACUUGGCGAGAGUGAUUCUCUGCAGGACACAGGGAGUGCCGAGUGUCCGGGCCUGUUUGCAGGGAAGUCACAGGUGGCCUUGAGACGUUCUCCCACCAACAUCAGCAGAAUGCCUGAACACAAAGCAAGGCCCUUCUCUUAGAAACCAGGCUUUUCAAUACUGGGUCCUGGGGCUUUAAGCUGGCCCGGAGUGGCUGAUGCCUCAGUAUGCUCUCAGUUUGUCCUCAUGGGAACUCUGGGGAGGUGGUGUUAUGCCCAUUUUACAGACAGGAAAGUAGAGGCUCAGAGGGGCUCCAGGCCUUGCCUGGGAAGGCAGCCAAGGUGGGACAUGCGUAUCCUGGGAGGGGAUACACCAGUCCAUCUGCACUCCGGCCACGACCUUGCAUCCCCGGCCUGUUAGAAUUCCACCUUCACUGUUAAUUGGCAGACAGUGAUGACUCCCUCUUCUGGAUUCCUGACUCCGGUUGCCCUCCCCUCCUGGCUGCGAAGUGUCAAUUCCUUAGCACACAGAUGGUUGAUAACCCCAGAGUCAGGCUGCCCUGAGUUUGAAUCUUGGCACCUUCGAGGGUCUUGGCAAGUGCAUUAGCUUUGCGGAGCCUCUCUCUGCCCCUCUUCUGUACGGUGGGGCGGAACUCGGAGCCCCCUGCUCACACAGAGUCGCUGAGCUGCACUUGCCCACACCUCCUGGGCUUGCCAGACCCACUUCUGCUGCUCUGCAGAACCCUGGUUGCUGCUGGACAGCUUGCCUGAGUGUGCAUCUGAGAGCUCCGCGUGUGUGCAGCCGCACCUGCUGCUGAGCGGGCACGGUGGCCCUGCUGCUCUCUCCUGGACUCUACCUUCGAGCGGCCGCGGUUGGAGGCGGCCAUCUGUAUUCCAGGCGGUCCUCUGGAGGUCAGGCCUGGCGCGCCUGUGAAUGCCUAUGCAAAUCGGGUCUCCUGGGCUCUUGGGCCGGAGGUCUGGCCCGGGUGCUCAUUGCUGCAAUCCAGUGCUGCACACUGAGACAGCUCAGACGUUGCAAAUUCAGGUUUCCCCCCGGAACUGACGUGAUUUUCAAACAAAAGAACUUUCAGCGCCUUCUCUGCCCGCCCCUCCCCCACCACACCCCCCUGGUCCCUGGGUGUGUCCCCCUCCUCCGCUCCCCUGUGGCUCACGCAGAGAAACAAGCGUCUCCCUGCAAGCCUGUGAAUAGUCACCAUUUACUUUUUAAAGUUUGGAGUAAAAAUUUGUGCU